GAACGGAAAGGCCCUUCGGGGUACUCGAGUGGCGAACGGGUGAGUAACACGUGGGUGAUCUGCCCUGCACUUUGGGAUAAGCCUGGGAAACUGGGUCUAAUACCGGAUAGGACCACGCGCUUCAUGGUGUGUGGUGGAAAGCUUUUGCGGUGUGGGAUGGGCCCGCGGCCUAUCAGCUUGUUGGUGGGGUAAUGGCCUACCAAGGCGACGACGGGUAGCCGGCCUGAGAGGGUGACCGGCCACACUGGGACUGAGAUACGGCCCAGACUCCUACGGGAGGCAGCAGUGGGGAAUAUUGCACAAUGGGCGCAAGCCUGAUGCAGCGACGCCGCGUGAGGGAUGACGGCCUUCGGGUUGUAAACCUCUUUCAAUAGGGACGAAGCGCAAGUGACGGUACCUAUAGAAGAAGGACCGGCCAACUACGUGCCAGCAGCCGCGGUAAUACGUAGGGUCCGAGCGUUGUCCGG
rnacentral:rRNA from 1 species